rnacentral:rRNA from 1 species
GACGAACGCUGGCGGCGCGCUUAACACAUGCAAGUCGAACGGAAAGGCCUGCUUUCCCUUGUGGAUUGCGGGUACUCGAGUGGCGAACGGGUGAGUAACACGUGAGUGAUCUGCCCCCAACUUGGGUAUAAGCCUGGGAAACUGGGUCUAAUUCCCGAUAGGACUGCAGGGUGGUGCCUGCGGUGGAAAACGAUUUUCUAGUGGUUGGGGAUGAGCUCGCGGCCUAUCAGCUUGUUGGUGGGGUAAUGGCCUACCAAGGCGGCGACGGGUAGCCGGCCUGAGAGGGUGGACGGCCACAUUGGGACUGAGAUACGGCCCAGACUCCUACGGGAGGCAGCAGUGGGGAAUAUUGCACAAUGGGCGGAAGCCUGAUGCAGCGACGCCGCGUGGGGGAUGACGGCCUUCGGGUUGUAAACUCCUUUCGACCGCGAGGAAGCCACCUGGUUGGAAGGGUGGUGACGGUAGUGGUAGAAGAAGCACCGGCUAACUACGUG